rnacentral:rRNA from 1 species
AACGAACGCUGGCGGCAGGCUUAACACAUGCAAGUCGAGCGCCCCGCAAGGGGAGCGGCAGACGGGUGAGUAACGCGUGGGAAUCUACCCAUCUCUACGGAAUAACGCAUGGAAACGUGUGCUAAUACCGUAUACGUCCUUCGGGAGAAAGAUUUAUCGGAGAUGGAUGAGCCCGCGUUGGAUUGGCUAGUUGGUGGGGUAAAGGCCUACCAAGGCGACGAUCCAUAGCUGGUCUGAGAGGAUGAUCAGCCACACUGGGACUGAGACACGGCCCAGACUCCUACGGGAGGCAGCAGUGGGGAAUAUUGGACAAUGGGCGCAAGCAUGAUCCAGCCAUGCCGCGUGAGUGAUGAAGGCCCUAGGGUUGUAAAGCUCUUUCACCGGUGAAGAUAAUGACGGUAACCGGAGAAGAAGCCCCGGCUAACUUCGUGCCAGCCGCCGCCGUAAAAC